GUUCCUGUAGUUAAACUUGAUAACGGCGGUUUUUCAGACCGCAGUUCUUGGGGAAGCACCGGGCAGGAAUU
rnacentral:tRNA from 1 species